UUUCUUUGUAGCUUAUUAUUUAAAGCUUAAGAUUUUUAACCUUAGGAAGCAUUUAAUGUCAAAGGAAU
rnacentral:tRNA from 1 species